rnacentral:rRNA from 1 species
CCUACGGGGGGCAGCAGUGGGGAAUAUUGGACAAUGGGCGAAAGCCUGAUCCAGCCAUGCCGCGUGUGUGAAGAAGGCCUUCGGGUUGUAAAGCACUUUCAGUGGGGAAGAAAGCCUUGGGGCUAAUACCCUCGAGGAAGGACAUCACCCACAGAAGAAGCACCGGCUAACUCCGUGCCAGCAGCCGCGGUAAUACGGAGGGUGCGAGCGUUAAUCGGAAUUACUGGGCGUAAAGCGCGCGUAGGCGGUCUGAUAAGCCGGUUGUGAAAGCCCCGGGCUCAACCUGGGAACGGCAUCCGGAACUGUCAGGCUAGAGUGCAGGAGAGGAAGGUAGAAUUCCCGGUGUAGCGGUGAAAUGCGUAGAGAUCGGGAGGAAUACCAGUGGCGAAGGCGGCCUUCUGGACUGACACUGACGCUGAGGUGCGAAAGCGUGGGUAGCAAACAGGAUUAGAUACCCCGGUAGC